GGCCCAGUUCCCGUUCCUUUCCGCGGCCGACUGCGGUCUUGAGGGUGCUGGACUGCCGCGGGGUGCGUGGCGCUCGGGGGCGCCGGCUGACGGCGGCCUGGAGGGCGUCCUCGGCGGUGUCUGGACGCGCGCUUUGCCUCUUCUCUGCGACAGAUGCGCCAGAGUUUUAAGUUAACCCCCAGGUCUCACGUAUCCUAAGUGAUCUACCUAUAACCUAGAUGCUGCUUUACUUUUUCUAAGGGACUUUGAAGCUCUUCGUAAAACACCAGGGAAGAUAAAGCUCUAGGUGCUUUGUGAUGGUUUGAUUUUUUAAAUUUAUGUUUUGCAGUGUCCGAUUUUUACCCCUGCCUUUGCUGGGGCUAUCCAUGUAUAUGGAUGUAUGUGUAUAUUUCUCUUUGCUUUCUGCAUGGUACAUGUGUGCGUACGUAGAUGGACACGCGAUGAAAAGUCAUGGAGAGCUUGCCUCUUGCUCUCCUCCAGGACUCCCUGGCUCUAGUCUUGGGAAAAUCCGACCUUCUUAUGGCUGCCUUAUCUGUAAAUUAGAAAUAAGCCUUUCCUAAUAAGACUUAUUUCUGUAAAUAAGCCUUACCUAUCUUCAGGCCCAGGAUAAAUUACAGCUAUGGAAAAAAAUACUGCUUAGGAGAAUCACCUGGAACCAAGUUCUAAACAGAAUAUGUGUAUUUCUUUCUUUUUGUACUAUAAAAGUAACCAAAUAGCCAGAAUAAGCCAGCCAUUUGUUAAAACCCCAUGAGUAUGGGAAAUUUUUCUAGCUAGAGAGCUUUGUUUUUUCCCAGUGGGACUUUACCUUGUAGUUUUCAUGCUUAAAAUUUUGUGAGGAGAAGAAAGAAUUUGAAAGAUCAUAAAAGACAGCAACUCUUUAAAAGCUGUAAAUUUAAAAGUUAUCUAUUAGAGAAAACCUAUCACUACUGCCAAAGGGCGUUUAGCAGUUGGAUACCUCAGGUUCAACAGGAGGACCAUUAUUCAGAGUUUAAUCAGAUUUUUAAAAUUUGAAUGGGACUUCAUUUAGUAAAACUAUUCAUGGUGUUCUGGCUUUCUCUUUGCAUAAAUGUGGUCAAGAAUGUGUGUUUAGCUUCACUAUGGCCAGCAAACAAUGAUGCUGUAUCUUAUAGAUUCCCCUCUCCAACAACAUAUUUCGCUGGCAUAUUUUAUUCUCAUAGCCAUUCCUAUAGUGUAGAGAUUUUCGACAAUCCUUGUCUGCCCAGAGCAACAUUACUUAUUCAAUAAAUUGAGUUUAAAUUGCAA
ensembl:lncRNA novel transcript